rnacentral:rRNA from 1 species
GGACCCGCACAAGCAGCGGAGCAUGUGGUUUAAUUCGAAGCAACGCGAAGAACCUUACCAGGGCUUGACAUCCCGAUGACCGGUACAGAGAUGUACCUUCUCUUCGGAGCAUUGGUGACAGGUGGUGCAUGGUUGUCGUCAGCUCGUGUCGUGAGAUGUUGGGUUAAGUCCCGCAACGAGCGCAACCCCUGUUUUUAGUUGCCAUCAGGUAAAGCUGGGCACUCUAGAGAGACUGCCGGGGAUAACUCGGAGGAAGGUGGGGACGACGUCAAAUCAUCAUGCCCCUUAUGUCCUGGGCUACACACGUGCUACAAUGGCCGGAAACAGAGGGCAGCGAAGCCGCGAGGCGGAGCGAAUCCCAGAAAGCCGGUCCCAGUUCGGAUUGCGGGCUGCAACUCGCCCGCAUGAAGUCGGAGUUGCUAGUAAUCGCGAAUCAGCACGUCGCGGUGAAUGCGUUCCCGGGUCUU